CCGAGUUUACAACUCCCAAACCCCUGUGAACAUACCACUUGUUGCCUCGGCGGAUCAGCCCGCUCCCGGUAAAACGGGACGGCCCGCCAGAGGACCCCUAAACUCUGUUUCUAUAUGUAACUUCUGAGUAAAACCACUAAAUAAAUCA
rnacentral:misc_RNA from 1 species